GAGGAUUACUUGAAAUUAUGUACACAAUCCUUUUAAAAAAGUGAACUAUAUUUUUAACAAUAUUUCUUGCAGUUUUCCCGUCUGUUAGAUACCGGCAGAUCUCUUCCUUCUCCUGGGUAUAAAAACUACAUAUCUCAGGCAGAUGUAGAUAAAAUAAUAAUGUUGGAAUACUCAGAAAAGGAUCUAUUCAAAGCAGACACUCCGACAGACUGGAGGUCCGUAUCUGGUUUGCUGGGUAGAAAGCUCCUAAAUAUAUUCAACAAAAUCAUGGAAGAUGACGACCUGUGUUUUGAAUGGAUUAUAUGCCAAG